CAGAAUAUAGCUUAACCCAUAAAGCACUCAGCUUACACCUGAAAAAUGUCCAUCAAAACAAGACUAUUCUGA
rnacentral:tRNA from 1 species